rnacentral:rRNA from 1 species
UACGGAGGGGGUUAGCGUUGUUCGGAAUUACUGGGCGUAAAGCGCGCGUAGGCGGGUUGUUAAGUUAGAGGUGAAAUCCCGGGGCUCAACCCCGGAACUGCCUUUAAUACUGGCAACCUAGAGUUCGAGAGAGGUGAGUGGAAUUCCGAGUGUAGAGGUGAAAUUCGUAGAUAUCGGAGGAACACCAGAGGCGAAGGCGGCUCACUGGCAUACUGACGCUGAGGUACC